GGGCUGUCAAGAACAAUCUGCACCUAGAGCCGCCAGCGAGGAUCCCCCAGUCGCCUCCAGAGUCCGCGGGAAUGAGCGUGGCGGUCGUAGACGUGGUUCCGUAGGCUCCACCAGGGAAGAUGAGGAGUUCGGGGUUCCGAGCAUAGAUAACCUGCUCUUCAUCCAACUGGUGGAGGCGCGUCCAGCAUUAUGGGACCACUCCGACCGCCACCACGCCGAUCAUCGUCAUACCCAGCGGCUCUGGAGGGACAUCUGUGCUGAAGUUUUUGAGACCUGGGGGAUCUAG